GACGAACCGUGCGAACGUUGUUCGGAAUCACUGGGCUUACAGGGCGCGUCGGCGGGCUGUCAAGUCUGGGGUGAAAUGCUGCGGCUCAACCGUAGAACUGCCUCAGAUACUGACGGCCUCGAGGAAGGUAGGGGCAUGCGGAACUGUAGGUGGAGCGGUGAAAUGCGUUGAUAUCUACAGGAACUCCGGUGGCGAAAGCGGCGUGCUGGACCUUUUCUGACGCUGAGGCGCGAAAGCUAGGGGAGCAAACGGG
rnacentral:rRNA from 1 species